GACAAGUCAAGGAUGGAGCCAUGUCUCCACUGGGUCUGGCAGCCAGAUGAACACAGAUGUCUGGUCUGUAGACCAUCUCAUCUACCCGACUUCAGGGCCGCUCUGAGACCUCAAACAUGUUUUAUCUGGGAGUCUUCCUCUUUCAUGACAUUCACAGAAGGCCUAUGGUGUGCCAGGCCCCGUGGACAGCACUGUGGACACAGAUGCAUAAUAACAGUUCCUACCCUCCAGAUAGAGAGGCAAGAAAGGGCUGUGGAAGCAAACCCAAGGUACUAAGGAAGCCGGGAAGAGAACCUACUCUAGACUUGGAAGUUGAAGGGGUCAAGAAACAUUCCUAGAGAAGAUACCUGAGUCUUGAAAACUGAGAAGGAAUUAGUAACCCAACAGAGGUGGGAACUUUCUGAGGACGGAGAUGGAGAGGAAGAUGCUGCCAGCUGAGGGACCACCAUUCUGAAAGCUAGGAGAAAGUGCGCGAUGGAAAGUGGGCCUGAGGGAAAGGCUGUAAGCACCUCACUAUUAAUCACAAUUCUCCCUAUAGGAAAAUAAAUGCUGUUUCUACUUCAGCAAGUUUUUUUCCUUUUGUUUACAUUUUUUCUCAUUAUGAAGUGAUCAUCCUUUAAUUUGGAUGUGAACACUACGUCUAUUUGCAGGACAGACUCACUGUUCUAUAGAGCUCAAGAUUAUUACCAG
rnacentral:lncRNA from 1 species